AUUAACGCUGGCGGCAUGCCUUACACAUGCAAGUCGAACGGCAGCGCGUCCUUCGGGAUGGCGGCGAGUGGCGAACGGGUGAGUAAUACAUCGGAACGUGCCCGAGAGUGGGGGAUAACGCAGCGAAAGCUGUGCUAAUACCGCAUACGAUCUCAGGAUGAAAGCAGGGGACCGCAAGGCCUUGCGCUCACGGAGCGGCCGAUGGCAGAUUAGGUAGUUGGUGGGAUAAAAGCUUACCAAGCCGACGAUCUGUAGCUGGUCUGAGAGGACGACCAGCCACACUGGGACUGAGACACGGCCCAGACUCCUACGGGAGGCAGCAGUGGGGAAUUUUGGACAAUGGGGGGAACCCUGAUCCAGCCAUGCCGCGUGCAGGAUGAAGGCCUUCGGGUUGUAAACUGCUUUUGUACGGAACGAAAAGGUCUUUUCUAAUAAAGAAGGCUGAUGACGGUACCGUAAGAAUAAGCACCGGCUAACUACGUG
rnacentral:rRNA from 1 species